GGAUGGGUGGCUCAAUGGUUAGAGCCUAGGACUUGGAAGCGAAAGGUCUCGGGUUCGAAUCUCGCAAGAGGCA
rnacentral:tRNA from 1 species